rnacentral:rRNA from 1 species
UACGGAGGGUGCAAGCGUUAAUCGGAAUUACUGGGCGUAAAGCGUGCGCCGGCGGUUUGUUAAGUCUGCUGUGAAAUCCCCGAGCUCAACUUGGGAAUUGCAGUGGAUACUGGCAGGCUGGAGUAUGGUAGAGGAAGGUGGAAUUCCCGGUGUAGCAGUGAAAUGCGUAGAGAUCGGGAGGAACACCAGUGGCGAAGGCGGCCUUCUGGACCAAUACUGACGCUCAUGCACGAAAGCGUGGGGAGCAAACAGG